AGUCGAGCGGAAAGGCCCUUUCGGGGGUACUCGAGCGGCGAACGGGUGAGUAACACGUGAGUAAUCUGCCCUGGACUCUGGGAUAGCCACCGGAAACGGUGAUUAAUACCGGAUAUGACCACUCUAGGCAUCUAGUGGUGGUGGAAAGUUUUUCGGUCCAGGAUGUGCUCGCGGCCUAUCAGCUUGUUGGUGAGGUAAUGGCUCACCAAGGCUUUGACGGGUAGCCGGCCUGAGAGGGUGACCGGUCACACUGGGACUGAGACACGGCCCAGACUCCUACGGGAGGCAGCAGUGGGGAAUAUUGGACAAUGGGCGGAAGCCUGAUCCAGCAACGCCGCGUGAGGGAUGACGGCCUUCGGGUUGUAAACCUCUUUCAGUACCGACGAAGCGAAAGUGACGGUAGGUACAGAAGAAGGACCGGCCAACUACGUGCCAGCAGCCGCGGUAAUACGUAGGGUCCGAGCGUUGUCCGGAAUUAUUGGGCGUAAAGGGCUCGUAGGCGGUUUGUCGCGUCGGGAGUGAAAACAGCGGGCUUAACUCGUUGCUUGCUUUCGAUACGGGCAGACUAGAGGUAUGCAGGGGAGAAUGGAAUUCCUGGUGUAGCGGUGAAAUGCGCAGAUAUCAGGAGGAACACCGGUGGCGAAGGCGGUUCUCUGGGCAUUACCUGACGCUGAGGAGCGAAAGUGUGGGGAGCGAACAGGAUUAGAUACCCUGGUAGUCCACA
rnacentral:rRNA from 1 species